rnacentral:rRNA from 1 species
GAUGAACGCUGGCGGCGUGCCUAAUACAUGCAAGUCGAGCGAACGGACGAGAAGCUUGCUUCUCUGACGUUAGCGGCGGACGGGUGAGUAACACGUGGAUAACCUACCUAUAAGACUGGGAUAACUUCGGGAAACCGGAGCUAAUACCGGAUAAUAUUUUGAACCGCAUGGUUCAAAAGUGAAAGACGGUCUUGCUGUCACUUAUAGAUGGAUCCGCGCUGCAUUAGCUAGUUGGUAAGGUAACGGCUUACCAAGGCAACGAUGCAUAGCCGACCUGAGAGGGUGAUCGGCCACACUGGAACUGAGACACGGUCCAGACUCCUACGGGAGGCAGCAGUAGGGAAUCUUCGGCAAUGGGCGAAAGCCUGACGGAGCAACGCCGCGUGAGUGAUGAAGGUCUUCGGAUCGUAAAACUCUGUUAUUAGGGAAGAACAUAUGUGUAAGAAAACGUGCACAUCUUGACGGUACCUAAUCAGAAAGCAACGGCUAACUACGUG